rnacentral:lncRNA from 1 species
UUUGCUCUUCCUCUCUUCUUGUACUUUUAACACGUUAUCAGCACGCUCUCGGAUGAGCGAUUCCAUCGGCCUCACAAAGCGACGCGGCGGCGACGUCCCGAAGAGCAAUCAUUGCCCUUGUCUCGCAUGGGCAUAGAUCGGCGGCGGUCGAGGCCACACCCUUGGCCAGCCCUCCACAGCGAUGUUGUCGGACCCAUCGCUAGCCACGGUAAGGCCUCUCCUACGAGCGGGUCUCGCGUCUGUGGUACCCAACAACGGCCAUAGACACCGCCGCCCGCGAGCAAGCGCAGUUCUGCAUCGAUGGCUGGGUAUGAUGUUGGAGUCGUCCUCUGCGAAAGCGUAUGUCCACAACAUCAGUAUCAUGCAAAGAUCAAUCCAAAGUCCUGAUCUAAACUGCAACGAGAACAAGCGUCUACUUUCCGGUUUAACAAUUGCAAUCAGGAAUUAGUACCUUUUGUCUUCGCCAUUGCAGCGCAAGCAGCAUCAGCAUGGAUGCAUCGACUGCUCCAGGGAAGUAGCAGUACCAUUUUAUUUCCUAUUUUCCAUUCUAGCGACAGUGCCGCCCGCCAUCAUCCCUGCAGCGCAGCCGCUGAAAUGGCCACAGCCAUUUAUGACGCGUUGGCCAACCGGACGUGCCCUGCGCCCCGCGCGGUCCGCCUGGUCGCCCAUCGCCGUGGCCAGCAGCGCUAGGCCGUGGCCGCGCCUACCCGCGGCAAGCCGUGGCCGGCCCCGGCCUCGCCCGGCAGCCGCCUGUGCCAGGCAACCGCGCCACGCCGCGUCUCGCGCCCGUCCGUGCAUCGUGUCCGCUCGCACGCGACACACCACACGCCUCGGCCGUGCGCCGCGCUCGCUGGCGCCAUGACCGCGCCACCUCUCCUCUCCUGUACGCCGCGCCGCGCCACGCCGAGCCGCCUCCCGUCCUCGACUGGCCGUCGCCCGGCCGUGAGAUGCCGUGGUCGCGGCAGUUAUGGGAGAAAUUCACAUCAAGAACCACUCUGGAGAGAAAAAGAAGAGAACCUUAUCUCUUCGGCUGUUUUCAUUUCAGCCCUUGUGUUUUCUCAUAAUCACAAAUACAUUCCUGCAUUUUUUUAGUUGAACCCAUGGAUUAACAGAUCUUUGCGAUUAAACCCUUUGGCUUAAUGAAUGUUAUGAACCGGACAUCAUACCAGACUUAACGGUUCAGCCGGAGGCUCAGUUUAUUAUUAUUUAUAUUUAUAUAAAGCCACAGCUGUAAAACAAAUACAUAUGUUAGG